AUAUUGGAAAGGAUUGGCAGAAUGGCCUACAAGAUCCAAAUACCUUCCACUAUAGCCAUCCAUCUUGUGUUCAUUGUGAGCCGGCUAAAAAAACACAUCGAUAAUCAUGUGAUUCCUUUCUCUGACCUUCCCCUAGUAACAUCAGAGGGCAAGAUCAAAACUAAAUCUACUACAGUUCUGGAAACUAGAUCCUUACCAAGAAAUGGUGUCUUAGUCACCCAAUGGCUUGUGGAAUGGGAAAAUCUCUUUGCUGAAGAAGCAACAUGGGAAGAUGCAGAUCUCAUGAAGAUCUUCCUGGAUUUAUUUGCAAUAACCAUCAAAGCUUGGUUUCCCGAGAAAUACACUUGA
rnacentral:rRNA from 1 species